rnacentral:rRNA from 1 species
CCUACGGGAGGCAGCAGUGGGGAAUAUUGCACAAUGGGGGAAACCCUGAUGCAGCGACGCCGCGUGAGUGAAGAAGUAUUUCGGUAUGUAAAGCCCUAUCAGCAGGGAAGAAAAUGACGGUACCUGAUUAAGAAGCCCCGGCUAACUACGUGCCAGCAGCCGCGGUUAUACGUAGGGGGCAAGCGUUAUACGGAUUUACUGGGUGUAAAGGGAGCGUAGACGGCAGCACAAGUCUGGAGUGAAAUGCCGGGGCUUAACCCCGGAACUGCUUUGGAAACUGUGCAGCUAGAGUGCAGGAGAGGUAAGUGGAAGUCGUAGUGUAGCGGUGAAAUGCGUAGAUAGUAGGAGGAACACCAGUGGCGAAGGCGGCUUACUGGACUGUAACUGACGUUGAGGCUCGAAAGCGUGGGGAGCAAACAGGAUUAGAUACCCUAGUAGUA